GAUUUUGGCAGUUUGACCAUCCGUUAUAGAGGAGCUGUUCUGCAUCAAAAGCUAUAAAAUUUAUUUGUAAAAAACAUAGUGAAAUAUUUUUUUAUGAUCUUUUUUUAUUAAAUUUUAAAUAAUAAACACAAAUCAGUUAAAUGUGACAAGUAAAUCUCUUGCGCGACGAUAUAUCAGGGUAGGCUAAUCGAUGUCGCCGCCAAUAAAGUUGUAAAUAAUACUGAUUGGUAACAUACGGCAACACAGAGAAAUCUUUGCCAGCAACUCUGUACUCUGCCAACAGUCUUGGCGUUGGUAAAAAAAUAGCGGAAAUUGCGAUUGCAAUAACUCCAUACGGACAUUAUCGUUUUCCUAUUGCGCAUGAUACCACUCGACGGACGUCAUCCGUUUGCCGAAAGAAAAGCCACCACCACAUCCAUAUCCGUCCACGGAAAACGGAAGUUGCUAAUUUGUAAAUUGUGUGUAUUUGUACUUACCAAAAUAAAAACCAAUUUUACAAAUAUAAAAUACGGCUGAUAUUGUAGCACUGUU